CCCAAGCUGGCCUGGGUGAAGGAGGAGGAGGAGGAAAGCCCUGGGGCUGCUCCAACACAGCAGCCUGAAGAGGUGCAGCAGGUGCAGCCCCCACAGGAGGAUGCAGGCCAGGAGCGGACAGAAGAGCAGCUCCGUGCCCGUGGCCGCUUCCGCAGGGCAGCACAGCUGGUUUGCAGAUUCAUCAGGUGCAUUUGGCAUGAAGAGGCCACUUUCAUGGCCACUGGGGACACGGCAAACUUGGACCUCUUCAAUGCCCAGACCAGCGCUGCCCUGCUGGAUUUGCUUGUGCAGAACGGUGUCUACAAAGCAAAGCAAGUGCCGGCCAUAGUCAGGUGCAUCCAUCAGUGGCUCACAUCCAAUCUGUCUGCUGAGCACAGGCUGGACAAGACUCUUGUCCUGCUGACUGAGGCACACCCU